GAUGAACGCUGGCGGCGUGCCUAAUACAUGCAAGUCGAGCGAACAGAUGAGGAGCUUGCUCCUCUGACGUUAGCGGCGGACGGGUGAGUAACACGUGGAUAACCUACCUAUAAGACUGGGAUAACUUCGGGAAACCGGAGCUAAUACCGGAUAAUAUAUUGAACCGCAUGGUUCAAUAGUGAAAGACGGUUUUGCUGUCACGUAUAGAUGGAUCCGCGCCGCAUUAGCUAGUUGGUAAGGUAACGGCUUACCAAGGCAACGAUGCGUAGCCGACCUGAGAGGAUGAUCGGCCACACUGGAACUGAGACACGGUCCAGACUCCUACGGGAGGCAGCAGUAGGGAAUCUUCCGCAAUGGGCGAAAGCCUGACGGAGCAACGCCGCGUGAGUGAUGAAGGUCUUCGGAUCGUAAAACUCUGUUAUUAGGGAAGAACAAAUGUGUAAGUAACUAUGCACGUCUUGACGGUACCUAAUCAGAAAGCCACGGCUAACUACGUG
rnacentral:rRNA from 1 species